rnacentral:lncRNA from 1 species
AUGGGCAUCCCACCCCAGCACUUUCUAGGAAGGAGGGCAGCAUUUUGAAGGGCUGGAAGUAGAGGAAGGAGGUUGCGGGUAGAAGACUCCAUACUUUCUGUGAUGCCUAUUCCUUAGGAGAGCCUUUAUAUAACCAAAGAUAUUUUUGGACCAUGAAUUCGGAAAUUCUCGGAGCCACCCAUCAGUGCCUGAGCUUCAGUGAGUCCAUAUCCCAUGUCACCCACGGCAAAGGAGAAUCUAAGACUUCUGAAGAGUUUCUUGCUUCUUUCCUGUGGGGCAGUGACUCCACUUCCCAGCAGUAAUGGAAUAUCCUGAAUUAGCUACAUUAAUGUUAGAACCAUUUGGACCUCACCCAGGACUUCAACUACAUUAUGGUUCUAGUAUGUUAGGUUUAUGUUCCCCUGCUUUCUACAAUCCUGUUCAAAGAGUUGCUGACUUAACCACAGAGAGGAUUCCAGAACAUGAGACACAGAAUAAACUUGAGCAAUCAUAGUCCAUCCACUUCAUUUUCUCAUCAAAAACCAAAGGUCCAGUGAAGCUCUGGAACUCAACGCUGUAAAGGAGCGAAGGAGCUUCUAUACAGAGCCUGGAUGCCUGUCUCCUUAUCCUACUUCAGUGGACUUGACUGCAAUCCGGACUAUGC